rnacentral:rRNA from 1 species
AUUGAACGCUGGCGGAAUGCUUUACACAUGCAAGUCGAACGGUAGAGGGGGCAACCCCUCGAGAGUGGCGAACGGGUGAGUAAUAUAUCGGAACGUGCCCAGUCGUGGGGGAUAACGUAGCGAAAGUUACGCUAAUACCGCAUACGAUCUAAGGAUGAAAGCGGGGGAUCGCAAGACCUCGCGCGAUUGGAGCGGCCGAUAUCCGAUUAGGUAGUUGGUAGGGUAAAGGCCUACCAAGCCAACGAUCUGUAGCUGGUCUGAGAGGACGGCCAGCCAGACUGGGACAGAGACACGGUCCAGACUCCUACGGGAGGCAGCAGUGGGGAAUUUUGGAAAAUGGGCGAAAGCCUGAUCCAGCCAUUCCGCGUGCAGGAUGAAGGCCCUCGGGUUGUAAACUGCUUUUGUACAGAACGAAAAGGUCUCUAUUAAUACUAGGGGCUCAUGACGGUACUGUAAGAAUAAGCACCGGCUAACUACGUGCCAGCAGCCGCCGUAA